ACCUUUAUGAAAAAUAUUUUGAUUUUCAAAUAAAUGACCAACUGAAAAUAAACGACCAACUCUAAUGCCGCUUUCAAAUUUCGUGGUAAAAAAAACUCGUUAACAUCAAUCACCAUAUGUGUCGCCUUCAACUUUAUAGUUGUGGCCAGAUAAAAAAGACUAUAAACGACCAACUUCAAAGUUUAUCGCUAAAGUUGGUCACAGAUAGUAUGUUUUCUUUUAGCGAAAUAGAACAUUUUUUCCCUUAAAUUUAUAAACACAAAUAAAAAGCCCAGAAAAGGUUUAAGACUGGUACGGACCCGACCCGAUGUGAGGGACCAAGAACGUCCUCAGAUCCGACCCUAGGGGAACCUUACCUACACAAUUUAGACUACAGUGAGAGAGAGAGAGAAAAAUAGAAACCCUAAACUGAUCGUAUAAGCUUGCAUUCCGUCCAUAUGUCAUCAGGAAGUUAAUUCAAAAUUUUGAAUUAUUGUAGUUGCAAGAACAAUGGAGAAAGCCAGUAUUCUUUGAUUCAACUAUUUCCUUGCUCAAAUCACUAUCUGAUCAUCACCUUUUUUCUGUUUAGAUUUAGAUCCUCGACGAGCUGCUUCUCAUUUUAAACUAAACUUUUAGUUUUCUGUUCUAUUGAUUGCUUCAUUGUUGUUUGAAAAUACAAACAUGAUCAGUGAUUGUUAGAUCUCUAUUUGAAUCAAGAUUUACAUGUAAUGUACAUCAAUUAAUAAAUAAUAGCAGACAGAAAAAUAAAAAUGAAAACGAAAAACAAGGCUUACAUUAGAAAACCCAGAUCGAUCUAUUUCAUCCGGCAAAAUUUUGAGCAAAUAAAUUCGAUUCAAGAUCCAUCAAUAUAUAAAUAAAAAACAAAUCAGCCGAUCAAAUCGCCCAAUAUAAUUAUAAUUGAGAACCAAAUCGCACAUGAAACGGUAAGGAAAAAGCGAAAAACCUAAUUAGCAAACAUUAACAGUUUCCAGGGCCCUAUUUUGCACAUAAUAAUACAUGAAUCGUGGCGAAGAAAUGAGAAAGCAGAAGUGAUUUGUUUUCGUUACCGCGAUGGAAAUACAGAUUCUGCACUUGUCUUCAAAGAUUGCAGAGUUCCAUUUCUUCGUAUGAUCGAACGAUCGAUCGAUCUCUCAUUCUCUCGGCUUGUUUUUCUUCCCUAAAAAUUAAAAUACUGAUUUGGAAUAUAUAUAGAAUUUGUUAAUUUUUCUGGGUUUAAACAAAA
rnacentral:lncRNA from 1 species